rnacentral:rRNA from 1 species
AACCUGCCUUACACAGGGGGAUAACACUUAGAAAUAGGUGCUAAAACCGCAUAAGCGCACAGCUUCGCAUGAAGCGGUGUGAAAAACUCCGGUGGUGUAAGAUGGACCCGCGUCUGAUUAGCUUGUUGGCGGGGUAACGGCCCACCAAGGCGACGAUCAGUAGCCGGCCUGAGAGGGCGGACGGCCACAUUGGGACUGAGACACGGCCCAGACUCCUACGGAAGGCAGCAG